rnacentral:rRNA from 2 species
UAAGCGGAGGAGAAGAAACUAACCAGGAUUUCCCUAGUAACGGCGAGCGAACCGGAAAGAGCCCAGCUUGAAAAUCGUGGUGCCUCGCACCUCGAGUUGUAGUCUGGAGAUUCAUCCUCUGCAGCGGACCGGACCCAAGUUCCCUGGAAAGGGACGUCGGAGAGGGUGACAGCCCCGUCGAGUCCGGACCCUGCUGCUCCACGAGGUGAAGUCUGCGAGUCGAGCUGUUUGGGAAUGCAGCUCUAAGUGGGUGGUAAAUUCCAUCCAAGGCUAAAUAUUGGCAAGAGACCGAUAGCGAACAAGUACCGCGAGGGAAAGAUGAAAAGGACUUUGAAAAGAGAGUUAAAAAGUGCUUGAAAUUGCUGGGAGGGAAGCGAAUGGAAGCUGCGGGUGCGCCCCGGUUGGAUGUGGAACGGCCCCCCCAAAGGGGCUGGUCCGCCGCUCAACGCGGGGCGCUGGUCAGCGUGGGCCAUCGCGGCGGGACAAGAGCGGGGUGUAGUUCCCCGCCUAUGCCGUUGCGGUGGCCGAGGAACGAAGCGCGCGGGGCCUCCGGGCCCCGUGGGACCCGUCCCAACUGCGCGCUCGGGACGCUGGCGUAUUGAGCUCUUCAUCCGACCCGUCUUGAAACACGGACCAAGGAGUCUAACAUGUAUGCGAGCCGGUGGGCGGCAAACCCAUUGAGGCGCAAGUAAACUGACAGGUGGGACCCCACUAAAAAGGGAGCACCAUCGACCGACCGUGAUCUUCUGUGAAAGGUUUGAGUGUGAGCAUACCUGUUGGGACCCGAAAGAUGGUGAACUAUGCCUGAGCAGGGCGAAGCCAGAGGAAACUCUGGUGGAGGCUCGUAGCGAUACUGACGUGCAAAUCGUUCGUCAGACUUGGGUAUAGGGGCGAAAGACUAAUCGAACCAUCUAGUAGCUGGUUCCCUCCGAAGUUUCCCUCAGGAUAGCUGGAGCUCGUGUAAGAGUUUUAUCAGGUAAAGCGAAUGAUUAGAGGCAUCGGGGGUGUAACACCCUCGACCUAUUCUCAAACUUUAAAUAGGUAAGCCGCCGGGGUUGCUUGGUUGAACCCCGGCACAGAAUGAGAGCUCCAAGUGGGCCA